CUAAGGGAAGACGGGUGUAUCAUCAUGCCAAAGGACACAAUUGGAGACACUGAUUGUUUCACCAAGGCUUUAUCUGAAAUGCCAUGUUUUCAGACUGUUUUCAAAAAUUGGAGUUGACUUAUAGAGCCAAUAAAAACCCCUUGGAGAAACUGGCCUCAUGUCUUAUCUAUCCAGUCCCUGUACAAGAUUCCUGUGGCUGCAGUUGGUUGAAUCCAUGGGUGUGGAACCUUGAAUUCAGAGGGCUAACUGUAUAGUGAGACCUAAAGAUAUUGGCAGAAAUUGGCUGUAUGAAGGUGGAGG
rnacentral:lncRNA from 10 species